UGGGGAAUAUUGCACAAUGGGCGAAAGCCUGAUGCAGCAACGUCGCGUGCGCGAUGAAGGUCUUCGGAUCGUAAAGCGCUUUUCUGGGAGAUGAGAAAGGACAGUAUCUCAUGAAUAAGUCUCGGCUAACUACGUGCCAACAGCCGCGGUAACUCUUAGGAGGCGAGCGUUAUCCGGAUUCACUGGGCGUAAAGCGCGUGAAUGCGGGUUGGUAAGUUGAGCGUGAAAGCUCCCGGCUCAACUGGGAGAGGUCGUUCAACACUGCUAGACUUGAGAGCUGAAUACGAAAAUGGAAUUCCUGGUGUAAUGGAGAAAUGCUUACAUAUCUGGAGGAACACCAGUGGCAAAUGCGAUUUUCUGGCCUGUUUCUGACGCUCUCACUGGACAGCUACGGUAGUAAACGGGAUUAGAGACCCCGGUAAUCCUAGCCGAAAACCAUGGGAACUUGGCGUUCGUGGCUUAGACACCAUCACUGCCGAAGCUUACUCCAUAAGUUCACCGCCUGGAGACUACGGCCGCCCCGUUU
rnacentral:rRNA from 1 species